CUGCCCAGGUGAACUUCAGGGUCCAUACUGGAUGCUGCAUCUUUUGAGGGCAGGAUCAGUUCUGCUCUCGUGGCCCCAGCGCCAGGCCUCCUGCUUGCUGCCUGCUACAGUGGGGAGAGGAGAGGGGGGCAUCCUUCCCUUGUGCAUGCCACUGCCUGGAGCUGAGUAUUGGGGCCAACUCUCUCAUGCUCAUAACCUCAGGGCCAGCUCACCUGCAACUUCCGGAAUUUGCAGCCCUACUCUCUUGAAUACUGCUGCUGGCUAGGGGUGACUCAGCUCUCUUUCUCACAUGUUUCCAGGCUUGUCUCUUCCUUGAUGCUCAGGGAGCCAGUUCUGCAUAGCCCUCAGACAUGAACAUGGCUCCAGCAGGCAGCUCAGACAAGAGACUUCCACCUGGCCUUUGAUGGUAACAGGCCCCCGGUGCUGUAGUGCAUUGACCCAGACAUGGCCCCCCAGUGGCAGCCCAGGCCAAGACCUCACCACACAUGGUCCCAGGUGACAUCACCAUCCUGAGCUACUCACAUCAAGAUGUUCCUCACUACCGUUAAGUCUCCAGUUCUACCUCUCUUCAUUGUGCCCACAUCCUUCUGUUUCUUACUUCUCUUCCAUUUUUGCACCACUUACUUGAUCUUCUUAGUGGUGCCUGGGAUCUCUGGAUGUCUGGGGUAGUCUCAGGAGUGGUCCCAGGAGUGGUCUCAGGAGUGCUAUCCCCUGCUAGUGCAUUACAGCAGGGGUCAUCUGCUCCUUCCCGCAGGCCUAUGUGAUGCCCAACUCAUCUCAGGAUACUUCCCUGUCCAGGACCCAUGGCACUUGUCUAGUGGUCUUCUUGGGCUCCCUUCUCACCCAGGCCAGCCACAGUGGCCCUGUGUGAGUGAGGGUCAUCUGUCUCAGGAUCACACCCACCCAGGGCCUGCAGUCCCAGAUGGGGCUCUUCUUGUCCCCUGCUCAUUCCCACCCUGUGAGUCAAUCUAGGAGUACGUGGAACUAAACUGGUAGCCAUCGUAGGCCUUUUUUCAGGGAGUGUUAGGCUAGUAAUCAUUCAGAUGGUCAUGCCUGAUGUAAUUAUUAAACCUCAAAUAGGGUUUUCUACCCUGCCUUUGAUCAGUUCCCAGAUAAAAGGCAUACAACUUUUAUAUUUAUAAUAAGCCUUAAUCAGCAUUAGAGCUGGGCAGUUAUCUGCUCUCUGUGCUAUUAGAAUCCAUUUCCCCAUCAUUAACCUCAUUUUAUAAUUUGUCGUGCUCCAUCUGGGAAGCUCUUAACUCCAACUAGCCAGGCCUCGUGGCUAUGUUUUCAUGAUUCACCUACCCUAUGACAGCUUCCUCCUUUCUCCACCUUCUUCUCCAUUUCCAUGGUUCUCCUUGGGCUCCAAUAACAGGGAAACUCAAACCCUCCAUACUGUGCCCAGCUAGUGGCUGUUGGCAUCUUUAUUUAACCAAAAGUGGACAACUUGGGGGGUGGGCAAAAUUAUAUAGCCUUAUUUGUUUGUGUAUAUGCAGAUUCUCUCAUCUCUGGAGGCAACCAGACCUUGGGGGUCAGUUAAUACUACAAUGCAAGCAAAAGACCAAACUUCAACACAUGUCAGAGCACUGAGCAUAGAUCUAGCUUCUGUCUGCCACCUCCACAUGUGACACAACAGCCAUAUCUGCAACUAUAGGGGAGUGAUUAUUUACACUUCUGUGCAAAAGUUUUUAAUUUCAUGCAGUUUCAUUUGACAAUUCCAAUGUUUAUUUCAUAUGCUACUUUCCAGAAAUCCCUUGUAUAUGCUCAUGUUUUAUUUAUGGUUUACUUUAGCAGAGUCCAAGUUUCUCGUAUUAGUUAGAGGUGUUCCAUCUGUUUUGAAUUGGAUUUCGCGAAGGAUGAGAGAUGGACGUCUGGCUUCAUGUCUCUAAAUCCUGAAGAUUAGAAGGACAUGCUAAGAGCCUGGAGUCACACUCCAGCACCGUGUGUGGCCUGAAGGAUGCAGCGCCUGGAAGGCACAACUUCUUGCACACUUUUAGGAAACAAAUAUUGUUCCAAGACCAUGACUCACAUCCCAUCAGAAGGCUCUUCCAGAGACCUUCAGCCCUGGCAAUUCCUUUAUGACCUGCAGUAAAGGUCUCCCGGACCAGAACUAAGGAAUAAAUAGAGGUUAGUGCAAACACAUAAAAUCAAGGCAAGGGAGUCUCCCACACCUCUGUUUACACUGCCAUUUGUCUCCCUGUUAAAAUGCAAUAAAGACCAUAAAAUGAAAUAGGCUGUGAAGAAUGAAAGAUCCCUUAUUCAUAAAAAAUGGUUCAAAUGAGAAAAGUCCUUUAAUGGAGAUGAGACAGCUACCAGGCCAGGGAGUGGGACAGAGACACAUAAAACCUUUAAGACAAUUCAUUAACCACAAAUUAUUGCAGGCAACUGAACUCAAGGUCUGUUUCCCUAAAACAUGCGUGUAUUCCAACUAUCAAAGGGAUAGAUGGUCUCCAUGUAUCUGCUGCAAAGAAAGAAGAAAAAGCUGGUUCUUUGGAUUUGGGAUCUUCCCAACUGGUCAGUGAGUCGUCAGAAGAAACAUGACCUUCAGUGGAAAUGAGGAGGACAUUAGAGGGCAGGAUCAGAGCCAACCCACUCAUACUUCUGACCACUUUCCAGAACUGGAGCUGAAAAAAAAUGAUCCCUGGCAUCAUUGACCAGACUGGAAGAAUUGUCCUUUGCCCUAAUUCUUGCACCAUUUAAAUCUACAUCUCUCAAGGUGUGCCUGCAGUAGACCUCCAGCAAGCCUCCGUACCUAACUUCACACAGGUUCUCUUUAUUCCUGUCAGCAUCUGUCUCUCAGUAAGACACAAGUGAGCUGGUCCAUGUUCUUACUACUGCCAUCUCUUAGAGUUACCUGUCAGCUUUGUGACUGACCAGCCUGCUCCAGAGACACCUCAGCUUAUCCCUUCUAGACAAGUCUAGGGGUUCUGGAUGCAUUUGCUCUCUCUGCUGUUCAGGAUGGCUGCAGACCUAAAGCAAUGACUUAAAGCCUUCAUUCUUGAAAUGUAACAUAAGUUAGACAGGUUCUUCUUGACGGAGUAACAUGCCUGUGACUUUGACCUGAGGUAAAGAAGACAGAUAUAAAUGAAGGCAGUGACAUCAGGGCUUUCAUGACACUUUUCAGUGUCUUCUGGGCCUAAGGAAGAAAUCAACACCUUUAAGUAAAAGCAGGCUUAAGUGCUUGGUGCACUUUUAUUUAUUAUGAUUUAUUUUUUAAUAAAAAAUAAAGAUGCUCUAAAACUUACCAACUUAGAGUGUAAAUUUAUAUACAUAUACACACAUACACAUAUAUACAUACAUAUAUAGGUACAUGUAUACAUAUGUACGUGUAUGUAUACAUGUAUGCACACACACGC